rnacentral:rRNA from 1 species
UGAAGCUGGAAUUGCUAGUAAUGGCAGGUCAGCAUACUGCCGUGAAUACGUUCCCGGGCCUUGUACACACCGCCCGUCACACCAUGAGAGUUGGGGAUACCCGAAGCCUGUGAGCCAACUGUAAAGAGGCAGCAGUCGAAGGUAGAAUCAAUGAUUGGGGUGAAGUCGUAACAAGGUAUC